CAGGAAGUGAGCACAGAUGGGCUGCCCAGACAGCUGUGUGGGGAACAGAGCACAUCUGUCCGGGGAGCCCUGCUGCAGGCUGUUUCCAUCCUCCCAGCAAGUCUGGACGCUGCGGAGGGCUAUGGGGCUUGGCUGCAGGGACAGGAGUGAGAGGAGAAGCCACAGGCUCAGAGAGGCCAAGUGACUUUCCCGAGAUCACUCAGGAGCAGGACGGAUCGAUCAUUCAAGCAAAAGGGUCCUGAUGUGUGCCAACUGCAUCGCUGGAAAGCAAGGGGCUAAGAUCCUUGAUCUGUUUAUUUGCUUGCCCAUUUAUCUUAUUCACCUAACACCCUGAGGGGUCCUUUCAAAGACAACCUCUCAUUAUGGAAAAAUUCAACCUUUGUUAGAAAAGUAGACGGAAUAAUGGGCUCUUAGAGGUCCUUUUAAUUCCACCCAGAAUUGGUUGCGCUUACAGCUGCCAAAGGUUGAGGGCACUGAAUGAAAGGGAAACAUGAACUUGCCGUUUUGCUUUCUUUCUUAAAACAAAAAAGAUAUUCAGGGCAAAUUUUAGAAUCAUUGACGGUUUCUAGGAAGAUUUUCUUUUUUGGAAGAAAAAAGGUACUCUUGUCUCCUUAAUUGUUCUUAGUGUUCUUUGUCACCAAUCAUGAUAUUCUUUGUGGAAGGUAUUAAUAUACCAUCUUCCUGUGUUCAA